GCUGGGUGCUGUGGCUCAUGCCUGUAAUCCCAGUGGCUUGGGAGGCUGAGGCAGGAGGAUCGUGAGUUCAAAGCCAGCCUCAGCAACUUGGCAAAGCUCUAAGCAACUCAGUGAGACCCUGUCUCUA
rnacentral:sRNA from 1 species